GACGAAGAAUAAACGAGAAAUAGAGGCGGAAUAGGAGAAGGAGCUAAGGUGGAAUAUUUAGAUGUUUGUCGGGUUCCUGAAGAUGCGUCGACGUGUUAUCAUCCACGCAAGCUUCCGCAACCCAGCCAGUGUACCACAGGACGGGAAGAGGAAGCCAGCGGCUGCAUGCACCAUUGAACCGGACGGCAUUGUAUUCCUCCCACAGGAGUGACUACAGCGAAGCAAGCCCAGAAUAAAGUGUUGAGUGACCGUGAUGAUUCAGUACUACUAACACCAAAGAAGUGAAGGAAGUGUUCGGAGUGAACGUGCAAGACAUACAACAGACACCAGACUGCUGCCGCUGCUGCUACUGCCGGUGUAGCCAAAGGAACAAAAGGUCCGGAGCAGGAGGAAGAAAUGGGUGAUUCUUGGAAACGCAGCAAUGAAGUUGUGAAGAUGUCUCCGGUGUGUCGCCUAGUGUGUUCCCUUGUCCCGCUCGAGAGAGACUCGGAUCACCACCGCGUCGAGCCGCCUGCCCACCUCCCUCCAUUCUCCUUCGCCUCUCACUUGAGUAUUGUGAAUGUUGUAUUUAUUUUCAUCACGCCUCUGUGUUUGUAAAGGGAGAGUGUUCCAAUAAGUGAGCUCUGUUUGCAGUCACAUGUGUAUUUCAAAGGUGUUUUGCCAAGUGCUGUGCUGAGGUGUUGUGGUGUAUCUGUCUGUACGGUGUUCGAGCUAGCUUUCGCCCACGUUUGUGACGCUACCUUCCGUACUGCAUUAAUGUCUGUGGAUUUCCCUCUUUUACCCCCGUCCUGAUAAACCUUAAAAUUGUGGUUAUGUUGGUUCAGUGUACAUUUCCCUCGUGUAACGGAGUGGUAAGUCAACCUCCCUCCACGCACAACAGUGUCGGGAAUCAUUUCCCCCGUGUCACGGUGUCAUGGGAUAUUUUCUCUUAUGUCUGUUUGCUUGUGGGGUAAUGAUACGUGUAGUGUGGCAUACUGGUGAGUGAAGCUGCAUAACUCUCUACUCUCCAUCGUGGAUCUGUUUCCCCAUGAUUAUUACUCUUGUAUGGGUUAUCAUUGGUGAUUAUGGUGCUUGUUAGUGAAGCUAUCUUUGCUUAAUAUAUGUACUAUUUUUGA
rnacentral:lncRNA from 1 species